AGUGAACGCUGGCGGCAGGCCUAACACAUGCAAGUCGAACGGCAGCACAAGAGUGCUUGCUCUCUGGGUGGCGAGUGGCGGACGGGAGAGGAAUGCAUCGGAAUCUGCCCAUUUGUGGGGGAUAACCUCGGGAAAACGGGACUAAUACCGCAUACGACCUACGGGUGAAAGCAGGUGAUCUUCGGACCUUGCGCAGAUGGAUGAGCCGAUGCCGGAUUAGCUAGUUGGAGGGGUAAAGGCCCACCAAGGCGACGAUCCGUAGCUGGUCUGAGAGGAUGAUCAGCCACACUGGGACUGAGACACGGCCCAGACUCCUACGGGAGGCAGCAGUGGGGAAUAUUGGACAAUGGGCGCAAGCCUGAUCCAGCCAUGCCGCGUGUGUGAAGAAGGCCUUCGGGUUGUAAAGCACUUUUGUUGGGAAAGAAAAGCAGCCGGUUAAUACCCGGUUGUCAUGACGGUACCCAAAGAAUAAGCACCGGCUAACUUCGUG
rnacentral:rRNA from 1 species